UGCAGUGGCAGAACUACUGCUGCAACGGCAAAUUACCACUACAACAGUUUGGGACAGUUCAAAUAGGGGAAAAUAUUUAUUUCCCUCAUUUCCACUUCCCCACUCUAAAAAUCAUCUCAAUUUCCGCCCGUGAAACCUUUUUUGUCAAUAAUUCAAGGUAAAUUUUCAUCUCUACUACUUCAUUUACAUAUUUGUCAUCAUAAAAUCUAGAUUAGAAAAGAGUUUUUUUUGGAUGUUUUCUAGGUAAAACUUGAAGUUUAAAUUUUGGUGGUGUUUUUGCACAAAAUGAUA
rnacentral:lncRNA from 1 species